rnacentral:rRNA from 1 species
UACGUAGGUGGCAAGCGUUGUCCGGAUUUACUGGGCGUAAAGAGCGCGCAGGCGGUCGUUCAAGUCGCGUGUGAAAGCCCCCGGCUCAACUGGGGAGGGUCACGCGAUACUGAUCGACUCGAAGGCAGGAGAGGGUAGUGGAAUUCCCGGUGUAGUGGUGAAAUGCGCAGAUAUCGGGAGGAACACCUAUGGCGAAGGCAGCUCGCUGGGACGUUACUGACGCUGAGACGCGAAAGCGUGGGGAGCAAACAGG